CUCCGGUUUCAUUGAGUCAUUCAGUGAACAUUGAGACGUUUGUUCUCCGCCGUUAAAUCAGGAUGUUUGUUCUCAUUCUGCUCUUCUCUGUGAGACACAUCACUGCUGCCACAGGUUCAUCAGUGAGGGGGAAGGAAACCUGUAAAGAUGGAGACUGUGUCACUUUCAGUGAAGGGGAAAUACCAGCAGAGGCUGGACUCUGUGUGGUCAUACCGUGUUCUUUCAAAACCAAUUCUACUUUUACACCCAAACAUCUGGUGUUUUACAAAUGUGAAGCAUCAAAACGAUUUUGUGCUGAUUCAGACGUGAUAUUCGACUCUAAUGAGAACAGCAACAAGGUUCAGGCCGGGUUUGUUGGACGUGUUUCACUGCUGGAGCCUGAUGUGCGUCUCCGGAACUGCGGCAUCAUCAUCAAUGACCUCACUGAGUCAGACUCUGGAUCUUAUCAGCUCAGAGUUAAUGGUUUAAAAAAUGGGAGAGAAAAUGGAUUGACAUUCCCUCAAAAAGUAAACAUCUCUGUCAAAGGUCUGACCCAGAAGCCCACAGUGGGGAUUCCUCCUCUGACAGAGGGGCAGCAGACCACACUGAGCUGCACUGCUCCUGGUCUCUGCUCUGGAUCGGAUCCUGAGAUCACCUGGACGUGGAGAGGAGCAGGAGAGAAGGACUCUCACAUCACAGGAAACAUCACUGCUGUGAAGACCGAGAACCUGACUUCUGUCACACGGAGACACAUUUCAACUUUGACCUUUAACUCUUCAGCUGAACACCGCAGCACUAAUGUGACCUGUAAGGUCAGAUUCACCAACGACGUCACUACAGAGGAGACGGAGACUCUCAUUGUGACCUGUGAGUAUCACUGACCUUCAUGCUCACCUUUACUCUGUAAUGUCUAAAGGGUUUUCCCACAUGUAGUAUGAUUUGUUGAUGGUUCAUUUAAAUGUGGUUUGGUUUUACAACAUCAACGGUGUACUUUGAAUGUUGGGAAGUUGGCGGCAUCAUAAAUGCUUCAAAAUUUUCCAAAAAACGUAAUAUCAAAAAUGUCCUGCACGACGUGAGUGGAGCAGCAACUCUUCUCAUCUCUAAUGUGACAGCAGAGUGUUCUGGUCAGUACGUCUGUACAGCGGAGCAAAGGAUCACUAAUGUGACUACAGCUGCUGAAGUAACCGUGACGUUUUUUCCAAAGAUCAGUAGCCAAACCUCUGGUGAUUGUGUGAGCAACAAUAUGACCGGGGAAGCAGAGCAGACCCUCACAG